AGGAUAGUAGUUAAUUAUAACAUUUGGGUUGCAUUCAAAAAGUAUUGAUUUAUUCAAUCUAUCUUG
rnacentral:tRNA from 1 species